rnacentral:tRNA from 2 species
GGAAAGAUGCCAGAGUGAUCGAUCGGGACGGACUCGAAAUCCGUUGUACGGCUUUGCUGUACCGUGGGUUUGAAUCCCACUCUUUCCG